UUAGCAACCCGAAAGCUGGCCCGAACGGAUGCCUGGUUCAGCUGAGCUUGGCGUACAAAUGUAUUCUGCUGAGAUAGUAGUCCACUUUUUAGCUUUGAGAGUUUGUCUGCUCGUAUUUGGCCUACGGCAACUGGUUCCACGACUACAACCGCUGGUUUGGGUUCCGUCUGGUUCUCUGCAUUCUCAUUCGGUAACUCUUGAAUGACAGAUUUCCUUGUUCGGCGUGUUGGAGUCUUCGGUACUUCAGAGUCAAGAUACACAGCUGGGAUCCGUACUCUACGCCCGCUACGAGUCCAAGUCACAACGGGAGGAGGCAACUCGUCCUCUUCGGCAUCCAGUCCUUCGUUUGGUGUUUUCUCACUUGUCGACAUGUUGUCAAAAUUAUGAUGGCGUGACCACAACUAAUCAAAUACAUAUGUUAUUUGCAGACCUUUUAGAGACGACUACAUGAGCAGAGUUCGGAAGCCCACGUGUGUAUGUUUAUGAUACUUACUACCACCAAGAGAGAAGAGAUGACCGGAAGUACGAGCAUACAGUUUGUGCCUUGGGCAUUCCAUGAGACUGCCGCCUACCGGUACAUCCCCUGCAAUUUCCAUGAGCUCUCCCCGGAUCGGUACAACUUCAGUGGGGACAGGGAUCUAGAACACUUCCUGCAAUUGGCCAAAGACAUUGGUCUGCUGGUUGUACUGAGGCCUGGGCCCUAUAUCUGUGGAGAGUGGGAUAUGGUGGAGAAUGAGUACGGCAGCUACUUUGCCUGUGACUACAACUACCUGAGUCACCUGACCAGUCCUCAGGUUCUUCAAAGAAGGAAUAUGUAUGUUGCAAUUCAAUAUGGUCUGUCAUCAGGUUGCUGCUGGAAUCCUAGAGCGGGAUUAGGCCCUGACCAUCAACGUGACUGGGAAGGCUGGGAGUCAUGUGGACAUACUGGUGGAGAAUAUGGGCUGAGUCAACUAUGGGAAAGACAUCACGACUUUAAGGCAAGAUGUUAUUUCAAGCUGGCUCUCCAUGGUAGACAUUUAACCACCAUUAAUAAAGCACCCUUCCAUUAGCUACUUCAUUUUACAUAACCUUAUUCUCUCUCUCAUUUAUUUAUUUAUAUAUGAGACACACAGAGGGCCUGGUGUCUAAACCUGACAUUGGGGUCCGAUAUCCACACCGGCUGGUUCGUCUUCAGCAUCGACAGGGCUGUUAGCCAGGGUCUUCUCUGGAAGAUGGGCUCCAGGGAGGCUGGCAUCCCACCACCCUCUCCCCUCUCCGUCCCCUCCUUCUAUGGGGGCACCUUCGUCAUCCCAGACCUGCCCCAGGAUACCUACAUCCAGUUCCUUGACUGGAGAAAGGCUGUUAGUGAGGAUGGGUUGGACAAGAGACAAGAAAUACGCCAUGAGGGAAAAGCAUAGGACAUGCUGUUGAUAACCUGAAAACCUGCUUGAUAUGCAGUACAGGGAAGGGAACCAGGCCAGCGUCUUGGUGUCGCUGUACAUGAACAUCCCAGACUCGGGUACCAACAGCCUAUCAGACAAAUGGAGACGUCUGUCAACCUCGCACCC